rnacentral:rRNA from 1 species
GAUGAACGCUGGCGGCGUGCCUAACACAUGCAAGUCGAACGUGAGAAAAUAGCAAUAUCCCUGAAAGUGGCGCACGGGUGAGUAAGACGUAGGUGACCUGCCUUGAAGUGGGGGAUAACAGCUGGAAACGGCUGCUAACACCGCAUAAUGCCGGACUGCUGGGAAGCGGACUGGUGAAAACUCUGGUGCUUCAAGAGGGGCCUGCGGCCGAUUAGCUAGUUGGCGGGGUAAGAGCCCACCAAGGCGACGAUCGGUAGCUGGUCUGAGAGGACGAUCAGCCACACGGGAACUGAGACACGGUCCCGACUCCUACGGGGGGCAGCAGUGAGGAAUAUUGGGCAAUGGGCGCAAGCCUGACCCAGCAACGCCGCGUGGAGGAAGACGGCCUUCGGGUUGUAAACUCCUUUUACGGGGGAAGAGGAAGGACGGUACCCCGAGAAUAAGUCACGGCUAACUACGUGCCAGCCGCCGCAGUAACAC